rnacentral:rRNA from 1 species
GAUGAACGCUGGCGGCGUGCCUAAUACAUGCAAGUCGAGCGAACAGAUGAGGAGCUUGCUCCUCUGACGUUAGCGGCGGACGGGUGAGUAACACGUGGAUAACCUACCUAUAAGACUGGGAUAACUUCGGGAAACCGGAGCUAAUACCGGAUAAUAUAUUGAACCGCAUGGUUCAAUAGUGAAAGACGGUUUUGCUGUCACUUAUAGAUGGAUCCGCGCCGCAUUAGCUAGUUGGUAAGGUAACGGCUUACCAAGGCAACGAUGCGUAGCCGACCUGAGAGGGUGAUCGGCCACACUGGAACUGAGACACGGUCCAGACUCCUACGGGAGGCAGCAGUAGGGAAUCUUCCGCAAUGGGCGAAAGCCUGACGGAGCAACGCCGCGUGAGUGAUGAAGGUCUUCGGAUCGUAAAACUCUGUUAUUAGGGAAGAACAUAUGUGUAAGUAACUAUGCACGUCUUGACGGUACCUAAUCAGAAAGCCACGGCUAACUACGUG